GGUUGCGAUCAUACCAGUACUAAUGCACCGGAUCCCAUCAGAACUCCGCAGUUAAGCGUGCCUGGGCGAGAGUAGUACUAGGAUGGGUGACCCCCUGGGAAGUCCUCGUGUUGCAACAC
rnacentral:rRNA from 1 species